UGUCACCUUUGAAUCGAAUAGUACCAUAACGAAUAUUAUAUAUAAACAUAAAAAGAUAUUGAAUGACGAAAUCGACAAAAGAAACGAACCAAUUAAAAAAAAAGAUUUUUAUCUAGAUGACGAUGAUUGUGAUGAUAAGGUGUUUUUAGGCCAUCGAUUGGUCAAAAAACAACUAUACUCGUUUUUAAUCAUAAGGGAUAAUGGAAGUCGUGCUAUUGUUAUUACUGAAAAAUAUAAUUUGGCUAAAAAAAUAAUAAGCAGUAAAAAUUUCAGUAUGAUAUAUAAAAUGAUAACAUUAAAUAAUAGAAAAGAUAUUUUAUUAUCCAAAAAGAAUAAAUGCAAAAAAUAUAUUUUAAAUAACAAAAAACUGAAUUUUGUAUAUUUUAAUUUUCCAAAUGUUCAUAUAGUGUAUAAAAUAAGUAUACCUAACAUAACAGUAACAUGGAUACAUAGACAAGACGUCAUAAUAGCCAUGUAUUUAAAUGACAUACGUCAUAGUGGUAAUAUAUAUUCAAGAGAAAUGUUAUUAUAUGAUAACAGUUAUAAAAAUAGGUUUAUUUUGAUAAAUAUAUUAAAAAAAAGAGAAUUAAAAUAUUAUGUACAACAUGUUUUUUUAAACAGUUAUAUAGAUUUUACAUUUUUAAUUGAACAAAUACAUAUUGAUCAUUUUGUUAAGGGUGAUAUACCUGUUAUUUUAAAAAAUACUAAUAUAAAUGAAAAUGAAAAAGAAAAUAUAUUUUUAUAUAUUCAUAUAAAACAAUAUUGUGUCGAUUCGGUUAAACAGGCACCCAUAUAUAAAAGUAUAUCCAUCAGGAUUGCUCCAUUAAAUGCAAAUAUUGAAUUAUUAGUUAUUGAACAAUUAAUAGAAAUAAUAGAAAAAGAAAAAAGGUUAUUAUUACUAUUAUAUGAAAAAGAACCUAUAAAUUUAUUACCUCCUCUUAUAUCCACAUCACAAACAGCUAAAAAUGCUAUAAAGACAACAUUAAAAAUAUUUUCGGAUCACAAUUUUUUAAAACAGUUAAAUAUAAAUGAGUAUAUACACAGUAAAAAUCAAAAUGGUUUUAUUGCAAAAAAUAUAAGGAAAGAAAACAACUAUAUGAUAAACAAUACAGUGAACUUAACUCAAAAAAAAAAUUAUAACAGUAAUAUUGUUCAGAAUAAUAUUAUGAAUUAUAAUAAUACCUAUUUAAAUCGUAAUAAAAAUCGUUUAGAACUAACUAAUAUAAAGCCUAAUAUAUAUACUUAUGAUUUUGGUUUACUUAGGAGUAGAAUGAUAACACAACAAAAGUUAAUGUAUUUGCAGAAGUUGUCGAAGUCGUUAGAAGGGCAAGGGGUGGAUUUUAGUGGCAGCAGUAGUGGUAGUAGUAGUAGUAGUAGUAGUGGUAGCAGUGGUAAUAGUAGUAUUGGUAGCAGUGGUAGCAGUAACAGUAGAAGUAGCAAUAACAGUAGCAGUACUAGUGACAAUGAUAACAAAAUUAUACAUUUCAAAACGAGUAACAGUGAUAAUAGCAGUUACAUCCAAAGCCAAAGCCAAAGCUCGAGUAGCUACAACAAUAAUAACAACAGUAUACUAUAUUGCAACAAAAACAAAAUGAAUAUACAACCUAGAAAAUUAUACAAA
ensembl:lncRNA